CUUGGCAUGCUAUCGAUGUCCCUAACUAGGAACACAAUUUACAAAGGACAAUGAAGAGCGCUUUCAAAAUUCAGCCUCCAUAUAUUCGACAGUUACCACCAACUCUCCGUUCUGAACGUGUGCUUGAUAUCAAUGGGCACUUAGGCAAUUAAUGAGCACGCUUCAUUUUCCGGAAUGGGCAGAUCCAGAAUUCCAAUAGAUUUCCGAGCAUUGAUUGUGCUAUACUACGAUGAGCGCGUUCAGCCUCCCUUCUGAUAGGACAUUUUACUGAAACGCUAUGAUUUAUACGUACGCUCUCUAUUGUCUGCCCUGUUCAAUUUGCCCACUGUACGAUAAUGAGGGUUCGAUUCGACGGGUGUACACAUUUCUUUGGCCGCUCCUAUGCCGCGCGUAGACUUCGCGAGGGAUCCGAUUCGUAGUGGUGGCUCAAAAUAGCUUACAAGAGAAUACGCGUCGGAUAUGAAAUAGAUUCGCACAAAAUAUUUCAACAUGUAUAUUAUAUCCUACUGUCGCUGUGGGUAUUCUGCGAGUUUUGCGCAUGUGAAAAUAGCGGAGCUUGUGAUUACUCCAACAUAUUAUUCGAUAUAAUUCGAAACGUCAGAACAAGACCCGGAUUGUAUGGUAGGAAAAGCUCGGAAGAAGAUAAGUCACCCAUCGCUACGGUGCACCUACUUCUACUUCCUGCGACAACUUCAAAUCUGAAUCGCGAGCCCGUGAGCCAACGACGAAUCGAAUACUCAUUUUUUGCCCGUAUCCAGCCGUUCGUAUGUAUAGUUGUUUGCGUUCUCUGCUUUUGUCCGUUCGUGUCUUUCUUUUUCAUGCUUUCAACAUGUGCCUCGUCGGCGUCCUCAUCUUCGCUCCGCUCGGAUCGUGUGCCUGUCACUCUUCUACAGUUCUCGUUCUCACCAUCACCGCAAGCGAGGCGCUGGUUCAGCCAGGCAUGCAUCCUGCGUCUACCUUUGCUCACCCUGCAGCGGAGGCUAGCGGCACUUUCUAGCCACACCGACACGACCAUUACCACCAUUAUACAUGAGAACAUCCGUUCAUACCUCACUGAGUUGUGCCCUAUGGUGCACCACCUUAUGGAAAUCAUCACCCUGCCGCUUUGUAUGUUCCUCUGCGAUCCUGUUCGUGCUGUCCCAUGGCCCAUUUCUGUGCCGUCUUGCCUUUUUCUUUGCAACAACAACAGCCACGAAACGCCAGCGCCAUCGCUCUUCUUUGCUAUUAUCCGCCUGGCUUUCUACAAUACGGCGGCAUCGAUGUGAUGUGCAGACUCCAGUGCGUGUUAUUCCUUUGCUGUUCCUUAUCAAGCAGCUCUUCGCGCCUUUCCUUGCACAUCUCUCGCCUCUCACCUAUGGUCGGUUUUUCCGAUCCAACGGCCGUCUCGUGGCUCCCCGUGACUCUACAGCGCUACCUUCAAGCACGCACGACUGACUUCGUCAUUUUUGUUCAAUCCAGCACACAUACGUCGGGCAUAACUUUUACUGUGUGCUCUUCUUAUCCUUUGUUCUUCCUUAACUCAUACUGGCUCCCAUAGGAACCCCACGCAUUUCAGCCGUCGGAUUCGUGAUUAACGUCACUGCUAUCACAGUGGCGGUUAGCCAGUGGAUACGUGUGAGUGACUGGUGCCGAGUGAUGUCAGUCAGCUUUUAGUACAUAAUAAUUCUUGUACAGUGGCUGUGGUGUAUCAGCGAUAGCGUAAUGAUCAGGCGCGUAUUGCGAGCUAUAGAGAGAAGCCGAGUUCAAGCUAGCGUUUAUUCGCACUCAGUAUGGGGUGUCACUGCCAUAUGCUUGAAGCACAUGUGCCAUUUGAAACUCCGCGUUGAGCUAUCGAGAGACGUUGUCACUUCGGGCAAGCGAGAGUGCAUUGAGGAGUGAAAGCUGCGGCGGCGGCAGUGGAAGAGGUGAACAGAACAUAAGCUCUUUCCUUGUUGCUCCGCAGUAAAUGUUAUCGCAACAAUCUGUAGCAGAAUAUUAUCUCCACCGCAACAAUCUAAAAGCAGGGGCUCUAUCCGAAAUCAUGGCAGUCUCAAUUGUUUCAUCGUUGGGAUUGGCCAUUUCAAUAUGGCCCAAAACAUUCCGGUUAACUGGCUAACGAAGCAUGCAGCGCGGCGUCAUCAGUUGUUGGAACAGGUUUGCACCCUCCUCUUUUUGCUUUCGUCGUAGCAAGAAUAAACCGAUGAAGCAAACUAUGCAAUUGAUAAGAACUCAAAUCCAAAUGUGCUUGCAAAUGAUGGGGAAACCACGUGUACAGCCAUACAUGGCCCUAUACAAUUGGGGCACUUUACAGUCCUAAGAGGAUGAAAAACAGUCCUCGGAAGCUCACAGCCAACGAUUGUUUCAAUUUAAAGGCUCACCAACGUAGCCUCGGCGCCAAUUCAUCUUUCUGAUACGAGGACCAAGCCAGUCGCUAAGUUGCUAGAGCAAUAGACGCUGUAUUGAGCGCAGAAAGAAAUCGAUUGCUUGAAAAUAUUUCGUUCCCGACAAAUUAUCGACUAAAUGGACGUCGUCUGACACGAUUUGUCUCGAAAUCCGGUAGGCGGCUAUUUUAACAAAUGGAAAGAACAUUUUAAUUCUAUCGAUCCCCAAACCCCCGGCCCAGAAGAAGAGCUCGCAAAUCGUGUGGUAUUUGGGAUAAC